rnacentral:lncRNA from 1 species
UCUGGAAUGAAAAGAAGACAAAGAGGGCAAGUAGUCUCUCUGUCACAAUAGGAAAGGUGAGGCCACAUGAACUCACAGGACACUCCAGGACCUCAAGAUGGACAGAGACUGAGUAGCCAGGAGUCCAGAAGAGCUGCUCUUGAAGUUCACUGACGGAGAUCCAACCUGCCGCUGAUGUUCCCACCCGGCCCCUUCCUUAGGUUUGCACUACAGUUUUGACUGUGACCCAAGGACCUAUGAGGGUGGACACUCAGUCACCUAAGAUGAACUGCAGGCAGUGUCUUCCAAGUG